AGUGAAGUUCCCAAGUCCUUUCUUCUUGUUCACAACUACCAUCUGGCUCACCAACACUCCACCAGUUGAUACUUGGAGAAGCUUCCUCUUGCUAAACGACUCAAAAACUCGAAGAUCUUGGAUCGACAUUCGCAAUGGCAAUCCACGGUCGAGAUUGUAUUCAGCAAGGACAUGCCCUUCAAUCGGCCUUUCACUAAGCACUCUCC
rnacentral:lncRNA from 1 species